ACAUUAUAGUCAUGUAUUCCUAUGCGCAGGCGUUGACUGAAGAAUAUAAAGACAGUUGCCCUAAUGGGCUUUGGUGUGACAACCGAAAUUCGUGGUGCGCUUGCGCCCCCUGAGAUGUUCCAUCGGUAGAGUUGAGAACUCAUUGCAGAACAUCACAGAGUUACCGAUUUCGCCAUGAUGCUGGCUGCAUUCGCCUUCCGAGUAACACAGUCUUCGCGAUAGUAAGCCCAAGCCAGUAUUUAGCCUGUGUGUACUUAUCGAGUUGAAGCGUUACCGACUUGUCGGCGAUACAACAAUUUAUUAAUGAUAAUAAAUUUCUUCCAAAAUUCGUAGCAAAACAGUGAUUUAAUUGAAGUAUAGGUACCCGAGGGAAGAAUUAAUACAUAGAUUAUGAAUAAUAACAGAUCAGAUUUAAUAAUGAUGCAGAGACCAAAAAGUAUACACGUACACGCGGUCCAUGUACGAUAUUGAUAUGUAUGAUAAAUUUAGGAUUAAUACGUGAU